rnacentral:snRNA from 1 species
ACUCAUACCUUGCAGGGGAAAUACCAUGGUCAUGAAACUGGUUUUCCCAGGGGGAGGCUCAUUCAUUGCACUUCGGGUGUGCUGACCCCUAUGAUUUCCCCAAAUGGGGGAACUCAACUGCAUAAUUUGUGUUAAUGGGGGAUUGCAUUUCUGCUUUCUCUGG